rnacentral:rRNA from 1 species
GACGAACGCUGGCGGCGUGCUUAACACAUGCAAGUCGAACGAAGAGCGAUGGAAGCUUGCUUCUAUCAAUCUUAGUGGCGAACGGGUGAGUAACGCGUAAUCAACCUGCCCUUCAGAGGGGGACAACAGUUGGAAACGACUGCUAAUACCGCAUACGAUCUGACCUCGGCAUCGAGGAUAGAUGAAAGGUGGCCUCUACAUUUAAGCUAUCACUGAAGGAGGGGACUUCGUCUGAUUAGCUAGUUGGAGGGGUAACGGCCCACCAAGGCGAUGAUCAGUAGCCGGUCUGAGAGAAAGGACGACCACAUUGGGACUGAGGCACGGCCCAGACUCCUACGGGAGGCAGCAGUGGGGAAUCUUCCGCAAUAGACGAAAGUCUGACAGAGCAACGCCGCGUGAGGGAUGGCGGCCUUCGGGUUGUAAAGCUCUGUUAAUCGGGACGAAAGGCCUUUUUGCGAAUAGUGAGAAGGAUUGACGGUACCGAAAUAGAAAGCCACGGCUAACUACGUG